GGUAUCUGUCUGGUCGUGUUGGGGUGUCUGUCUGGUAGUGUUGGGGUGUCUGUCUGAUAGUGUUGGGGUGUCUGUCUGGUCGUGUUGGGGUGUCUGUCUGGUAGUGUUGGGUGUCUGUCUGAUAGUGUUGAGGUGUCUGUCUGGUACUGUUGGGGUGUCUGUCUGAUAGUGUUCGGAUGUCUGUCUGAUAGUGUUGGGGUGUCUGUCUGAUAGUGUUGAGGAGUCUGUCUGGUAGUGUUGGGGUGUCUGUCUGAUAGUGUUGGGGUGUCUGUCUGAUAGUGUUGGGGUGUCUGUCUGAUAGUGUUGGGGUGUCUGUCUGUUAGUGUUGGGGUGUCUGUCUGAUAGUGUUGGGGUAUCUGUCUGGUCGUGUUGAGGUGUCUGUCUGGUAGUUUUGGGGUGUCUGUCUGAUAGUGUUGGGUGUCUGUCUGGUCGUGUUGGUGUGUCUGUCUGGUAGUGUUGGGUGUCUGUCUGAUAGUGUUGAGGUGUCUGUCUGGUAGUGUUGGGGUGUCUGUCUGGUCGUGUUGGUGUGUCUGUCUGAUAGUGUUGAGGAGUCUGUCUGGUAGUGUUGGGGUGUCUGUCUGGUAGUGUUGGGGUGUCUGUCUGAUAGUGUUGG
rnacentral:lncRNA from 1 species